rnacentral:lncRNA from 10 species
GGCUGUACAAGCAUGGCACCAGCAUCUGAGGCAAAAGGGGAGCUGGCAUGUGCAGAGAUUACAUGGCAAGAGAGGAUGCAAGAGAGAGAGAACGAGGUGCCAGAUUCUUUAACCGUCAGAUCUCAUGGGAAAUAAGGGUACAAAUUCUGGAGCAGCAACUGAUUUACCAGGAAACACUGAGGAGUAGAGCAAGGUGUUGAAACAGACUAAAUAACCAUUUUCUGCUGGCAAC